GGAAAUGCUGUGUACUGAGUGCUGGCCGGGUCGUGCCCUUUUACCCAUGUGUACAGUUUUCCGAAGAGCUUGGCCCAGACAGCCCUAGUGCCUCUGUAUAUAGAUGAAGGUUGUGAGGCUCAGAGAAGGUAAAUGAGGAGCCUGAGGACAUCAGCCUGCCGAGCUCAGGGGCUCCUCGCCCUGCACCCAGCAGCCUCUGGUGUCCCAAGCUGUGGCCUGGCCCAGGGUGGAGGACAUGGCUGACCCAGGUCUCUUGGUGCUGUUUGUCUGGCAACACCUGACGAGGUCUCCUUUUCUGCACCCAUUCCUUCAUUCCUGAGCAUGCUAGGCUGUGUGCUGGCUCCUGGGCAGAACACACUGGAUGAGCCAGGUGCCGUCCUUCCCAUUCAGAGCCUGAAGCUAGUGGGGACCCUAAGGAGAUUCAGGGACAUCCAGCUUUAUGGCUGGGAGUAAUUUUAAAUCCAGCCUCUCUUCAACUUUCACACACCACCUCCACCUGUUCUUCAGUGUGGUGGGGAACAGAACCUAUUGGGGCCCUCACCUUGAGGCAAGCAUGUCUUCCAGGCUGCCCAGCCACAAGGGGGUGCUGUAACAGCCGUGAGCAGGAUUUCCCAGGCUCUAGCUUGCACUCAAUGGCAGGAGCUCUGGCUCUGUUUACCAUGCCCGCAGGGACUUCAAGAGUCCCCAUUUGAGACCCAUGCUGGCCACCUGGGCCACCAUUUGUCUCCCCUCCUGCUCCAGGUGUAUGGGGAAGACCUGUCUGCCUUCACCUAGGCCAUGUCUUGAUGCUGCCCAAGAAGCCACAUCUUGUGCACAUCUGGUGCAGGGGAUCCUUGCACCAGGCUGGGCAUGAGCCAAGGUUCUCUUCCACGAGCGGAUCCUUUUCCAAGUGGGAACGCCUGGAGAGCCAGGGACUUGAAUCUUUUGGGGAAAAAUAGGCCACAGAGAAUGGUAUCUUACUGAUGUGCAGAUAUCAGAGGAGUCAGAACACACUGAAGACAGCCCAGCUCUGGGCGACAGCCUAUCCCAGAGAGGUUGUCCCUCAACCCAGCCACUAGUACCACCCUCCCCACGAGGCACCCUGGUCACUGGCUGAGGGAGGGUCUGUGGCAGCUCCGGCCCGCGCUCAAUACCCUGUAGCAGUAACAAAUGUGUGGCUAUGAAUGCGGAUGGCAGUCUCAGGGUACCUGUGUUCCUGCAUGUUUAUGGACGCAUCCAGGACCAAAAAAAAAAAUCAACUUUUUUUUUUCCAAACAAUAACAACAAAAUGAAUGAUUACGAUAGGAAAGGGAAAAAUUAAAUAGCUAGAUAUCGUUAACAAAUUAAUUGUUCUGCAAAAGUAUGUUUUAAAGUUAUCAUCACUAUCUAGCCCAGGCUUCAAACUCAGGAUCCUCCUGGCUCAGCCUCCCAAGUGCUGGCAUUACAGAUGUGUGCAUCAUGCCUGGCUUUAAUUUAUUUUGAAAUGUCAAAUGACAUUAAAGGAAGCUGAAACGCAAACCACCACCCUGUACUGAUUGUUUUAGUGUCUAUAGCUCCAACAAGAAUAUAGUGCUUGGGUCUCACCUCCUGUCCGGUUCUCAGCCUCAAACAACAAUAACCCCUUACUGCCUCUGAAUCCAUUCACACCCACCCCAGCACAGUGCC
ensembl:lncRNA